CUGUCAUCGUUGGGCUUCGAUCUUCGUUUGCAGAAAUGACUUUGUUGAGCUUCUUCUAGGGAUGAUCGGGCUUUUGCCGUCAGAUCUAUCGCCCUAGUGGGAGAGAUCGACUCUGUCAUCGUCGGGCUUCGAUCUUCGUUUGCAGAAAUGACUUUGUUGAGCUUCUUCUAGGGACGAUCGGGCUUUUGCAGUCAGAUCUAUCGCCCUAGUAGGAGAGAUCGACUCUGUCAUCAUCGAGCUUCAAUCUUCGUUUGCAGAAAUGACUUUGUUGAGCUUCUUCUAGGGACGAUCGGGCUUUUGCCGUCAGAUCUAUCGCCCUAGUAGGAGAGAUCGACUCUGUCAUCGUCGGGCUUCGAUCUUCGUUUGCAGAAAUGACUUUGUUGAGCUUCUUCUAGGGACGAUCGGGCUUUUGCUGUCAGAUCUAUCGCCCUAGUAGGAGAGAUCGACUCUGUCAUCGUCGGGCUUCGAUCUUCGUUUGCAGAAAUGACUUUGUUGAGCUUCUUCUAGGGACGAUCGGGCUUUUGCCGUCAGAUCUAUCGCUCUAGUAGGAGAGAUCGACUCUGUCAUCGUCGGGCUUCAAUCUUCGUUUGCAGAAAUGACUUUGUUGAGCUUCUUCUAGGGACGAUCGGGCUUUUGCCGUCAGAUCUAUCGCCCUAGUAGGAGAGAUCGACUCUGUCAUCGUCGGGCUUCAAUCUUCAUUUGCUUUUUCUUCCCCCUUUUUUUUUUCUUCUUUCUUUCUUUCUUUUUUUUUUUUUUCUUUUCUUUUGUUUUUUUGGUUUUGGUUUUUUUCUAUUUCUUCUUCUUCUUCUUAUUAUUAUUAUUUUGCAGGAACUCUUCUUUUCAUCAUGGUGCACUUCACUGAGUAUUCUGACUCGACCAAAAGGUGUUUAAUUAUCCUGAAGGACGUAGAUCAAUCUUUAGAGGAAGGGAUCAUUCUUCCUGUGAGAGAGGGGACAUAUGAGAAUAUUAUGGACUCCCAAAUACCCGAGGACAAUUUUAUCUUUUUGCCUAAAUGGUCCAAGGAACGGUUUGUAAAUCCAAAUUCAUCUUUAAAAUCUUGGUUUCUGGAGUUUUCGAUUCACAACAAGCCUCCAAAUGAGGAUCCAGAAUCAACGUUGGGUCGUCGAAUUAUAAACGACCCAAAAAUUCGUUGGGGAAAUGUGCUCAAGGUACAUGGAGAAUUUUACUAUCUUCCUCAUUAUUGGGAGUGGUUAGAGCUCGUUGUUGCUAGAAAUACGGCAGUACUCAAGCGAGCCUCCCUAUUUAAUGCUGUGAUGGCUUCCCUAUAUACAUAUGAUCGCAACAGUGACAUUGAUCGGGCUUUCUGCGAGGCAUGGUGUCCUUCAACAAACACUCUUCACACCUCAGCUGGUGAGAUGUCCAUCUCCUUAUGGGACUUAUGGAUACUAGGAGGACUCC
rnacentral:lncRNA from 1 species